UGACAAGUUACCAGUGACCCGGGCUGCAGAUGCCUCCUCGCUCCAACUCUUACCCUGCCAUGAAGUAAACAAUCACGUUAUUCUUUCGGUGGCAUUCUCUGAUGCCCACGUCAGACAGUUUGUUUAUCUACAACAAUAUGGGAGGAAUGCUGCUUCACGUGCUCACAGGGAAGAACACGUAACUCAACAUCCACAUUGCCGCAGGUCCUGUGCCCUUUGGGUCAUUCAACCUUCAAAGCAAGCUAAAGACUCUGCAGAACUCUGGAAAAAGAAUGAAAUGAAGAUAAGAUUAUAGGGAAAGAAAAAAGGACCUAAAGGACAUUGAGAAAGAAGAUUUCAAAACCAUUUUGGGAUGUCGUAGUCUUAAAGCACGGCCUGAUGAGCGGUGUACAGGUCCAAGCCAGGGAUCUGAACCAGUGAACCCCAGCCGCCGCGUAACGGCGCGUGCAAACUUAACCACUAUGCCACCGGGCAGACCCCAGGAAUAAUUUUUUUAAAAGUCUCUCAGCCAACACUACUCAAGGCCUUCAUGUCAACUAAUCCAAGUUCUCCAUCCUCCCUGGGAAACAUUGUGACUGAUGCUCAGGGCAUGCUGAACACUGGAGCCAGCGGUGCUGCUUGUACUCCACACAUUUCUGCUCCUACCAGUUAAGAUGUAUGCUUACCAACGGUUUCUUGUGUUUUUUUCCCCCAAAACAUGGUUAUUCCCAUUUAUGCUUAUUCUUGUAAUUACUUAAUUUAAUAUUGAGUAUAAUGAUGAAAUAUGAGUAAAAAAAGAAAUAGUUGUUAUUCUAUAAGAUCUAAAUGAAAAGAUGCCAUAUAAGCAAUCGCUG
rnacentral:lncRNA from 1 species